GAAAGAAGCUAUUUUUGGCCCAAAGACUCUCCUGUACUUGCACAUUGUACCUCUUGGACAUCCGGGGACUUAGCCUUAGCCCGCUGAUUCACAGUUAUCAGCAUCUAUACAUACAGUGGUACAGAGAAUAUAAGCUCAGUGAGAGCAAAGACUGUAUCUACAUCUCCUGGAACAAAAGGAGGAAAAUGAGGAAUUGACUCAAGGAGGUUGGAAGACGUGGCUUUUGUCAUUCAACUGCCCAGUAACCAAGACUUGCUUGUGUUCAGUUUGGAGAGAGCAUCACAGAUGCUUGGCUGUGAUCCAUCCUCCUCCCAAAUUCAAGGCCUUCCUACCCAUCCAGCCCUGCCAGGCCUCUCUGCCUUCAGGAGGAACAAGGGGAAGGGGUGCAUUUUCAUUCCUGGGAAACAAAUCUCUACUGCCCAGGAGUACUGGGGUGAAAAUAAACAAUCCCAGAGAUCUUGGAGAGUCCCGAAGGAGAAAGGAAGAGGGAAGGACUGGAGAGGAAAGAGGAAAGGAGCCACAG